rnacentral:lncRNA from 1 species
UCUUUUUCUCUCUUUAAUGCCUUUCAUCACAUAUUCAACACCACAAUCUUCACGCGUGUAUUCUACUUCCUAGUUCCUACCUUCUCUUUAGUCUUUAUAAUAUAGGUUAGAUGUGACAAAUCCUACUAAACUUACAAUAUUACUUUGACAAAUGUUAACAAAGGCUCUCAAAAAUGUUUAUUAAACAUCCAAUCAUAUAAAUGUUAUAUUAA